UAAUCCUAAAAUAUUUUAAUUUUCAAAAGGUGACGUAAAAGGAAAACUAGGGUAUCCAAAUUGUGAACAUGGUUUGGGCUAAUUCUUCAAUAGCCCAAUUCAUAUUCCUGCGGCAGCUCAUUCUCAAAUACCCUAAUUCCUUCUAUAUAUUUACCCACAAUCAUAAACCCUAACAUACUCAGCAGCUUCGAAAGCCAACCAGCGUGUUCUUCUCCCACCGCGUUUGCAAGUGACGAAAAAACAGACAGGGACAUCAGAUCUCCUAAUUAGAGAAAAUGAUGACAUGUCGUUGGGAAUCUCUCUGAUGCAUUAUGUAUAUUUUGCAAUUACUAUUAUUUUUUAAUUCAUACUUUUAUACCUUUUGUUGAUUUGCAUUGUUAAAGUUUUUUAUUAGAGAACUAAUUGUGCGCAGAUGAUGACAAUAUAUAGACAGGGACUCAGCACUCUUAUGGAGAAUGUUGAUUUGUCUAAUGGGAAAAAUCUCUGAUGCCUUUGCAAAAUAUUUUUUUGAUUAUCUAAUUGUCUUAUUUCAUGUUUUUUCAAUUGCUCAAUUUUGUUGUUUUUCAAUUGUAAUACAAUUUGCAAAUGAUGAAAAAACAGACAGGGACAUCAGAUCUCCUAAUUAGAGAAAAUGAUGACUCGUCGUUGGGAAUCUCUCUGAUGCUUAAUGUAUUUCUAAACCAAUUUAUAUAGAAAAUUUAUUCUUUUAAACAAUUAAGUAUUUUUGUUUUAAAAUUUCUCUCAGUGAUUUGGCCAAUGAUGUACUAAUUGCACGUAUUACCAGAUAUAUAAUUUGAUGAUUAAUGCUAAUUGUCACUACCGCUGAGGCCGUGUUACUGUUAAUUUAUGUACUUCCCGUGUGAUUUUUUUAAGAUGUCUUUUUAUUUUAGUAUAUUGCAUCAAGCCUAGUGAUUGUCAUAAAGAACGGAGAUUUGAAAGUUGCUUUUGUUGAAGCCUUUGUUAAUCCAAGGGCUCCAAAAGCAUAGUAUGAAAUAAACCGUUUUAUGUUGGUAUCAAUGAAGGCAAUUUAUGUUGAGGCAGUUUAUUGGUAA